GGAAAAGCAAACCUUUUCCCAUAUAUACUUCAGCCCAGGUCUUGUAUCUUGUCUGUAUUGUGAAUGAGGAAACACAA
rnacentral:snoRNA from 1 species